UUCUAUGCCAAAGCCAGCUCAUUUAUUCAGAUGCUUUAGCCAGAAAGCAUAUUGUCUCAUCUGAGCUUAGCUGUCUAAGAUUCACUGUGCAUACAUUUCCUUCUCUUGUUCCAGUAAGCUUUACAACAGAUGUCUUUAGAUCUCUGACUUGACACUGAUUGUUGAGGAAAGUUACUUGAUGGCCUUUGUCGCAGAGUUGGCUAAUGCUCAGAAGAUUGUGUUGUAGUCCUUCCAUAUAGGCCACUCUACUGAAGGAUACUGCUUCAUUUCCAGCUGAGCCAUAUCCUCUUGUCUUGCCGGAGCCGUUGUCGCCAAAGAUGACUGAGGUACCUUCCUUUUCUAUGUAGUUAGACAAAAGGGCUUUGUUCCCAGUCAUGUGCCUUGAGCA
rnacentral:lncRNA from 1 species